AACAGUUCGUUCUGUCUCUGACCAUCAUCAUCAUCCAUCUUCACCACCGCCCCCAACUGCUCUCUUUCCUCAAUUUUCACAGCUCCAUUCUUAAAUCUCCCCACCAGCACAACCAUGGCAAACGACGCCGCUUUGAGGUCGGCCUUGGUUUGGUUAGCUGGGGUGGUUUUGGUGGUGGGAAUUUGCACUUUCUCCUUCAAGAAAAUGCUGGCCACUUACGUUGUGGGAGUGGUCGGAAUCUCUGGCGUCUUUUUGCCUGAUUGGGGCUAUUUUGACCGAGACUUCUCUCGCUGGACCAGUCCCGUUACUGCUGAGGAAAGGGCAUCCCAUAUUGCUCAGAGAUCUGGACCAACAAGAUUUAAGAUCUACCCAUUGAGAUUUACUGCAUAUUCUAUAGUUUAUGGGUAUGGCUUGUACAAGUGGUGGAAGUUUGUUUCGAGUUAGUGAUCAACCAGCUUUAGCUGCCACUUGAUUGUUUUCUCCAAUAGAGUUUAUGUGGGUACUUCCUCUGUUUGGGGGAAAAAAAAAGUUUUUUGAUAAACGGAAGCCGCGCAUUAAUCAAGAGAUGUGCUUCGACACUCAUUUAGUUGCUGAGAGUUCAUGAAACUCCUAGUGUAGCUAGAAUUAUGUCUGAUAUUUAUCCUCCAAGAAGUUACAAGGCCCACCCUCAAUCAGUUGAGUCUCGAGUUGUUCGGUAAUGUAGCUUAAGAUUGCAGCUUCUUCUGUGCAGUAACGCGGGGGUUGUUCAACUUGUGGCGAAGUACUUAUCCAGCAAUUAGCGUUGAUCAGCGCUGAGGACCUCGCGACUUGUGCGGCCGGCUCGUGAUCUUGCAGUGUCCAUAUGCUAUUGCCAACUCCCCAGUAAUAUUCAGCGAGAUUGUAGUGGUUCACUUGUUGUUGUUCAUGAGCCCCAUAAUUAAACUUUUCAUUCAGGCACUCUGAUAAGGUUGAGCAGUCACCAUUAUCUUUUGUUGCAAUAGAUGGUUCGUUGAUGGUGUUCUGGCUGGUCAUCUCCUUUUAAUCUUGUAAUCUAAUCUAAUUUAUUUAAAAGAC